GCGCGCGGAGCCCGGCCGCCGGGACCCAGCCGCCCGCCUCCCGCCGCCGCCUGCCUGGUGUCCCUCGUCCUCGCAGCCGCCCGCCGCCUCGCAGCCUCCUUACCUGGCGCUCCUCGCCCUGCGCCCGCGCCCGCCCUGCCCCGCUCGGCCGCCCCGGCGUCGGCUCAAAGUUUCCUCCGCGCAGGCAGCUUGGCGCAGGGCUGCCCAGGGAGACGGGCUUCUGAAGCUGCGCCUCGGAGUGGCUCUUCUUCCAGCGCCUCUCCGCCUCGUCCGCACCUAAUCCGAACGGGGAGUAGAUGUUCUAUGCGAAGGGGAGGAAAGGGGGGUAAUAUCGAGAACAAGAGAGAGGAGCGGCCACCACUGAGCCCACCCGCUCCUUUCCUGCCCGAUGCCCUGGAAUUGACGGAGGAUGGGCCUGUGGGGUUCAAGAAGAGAAUGACAGAGAAAAAGCCAAGUUGACGCGGAGGGGUUGGAUGCCAGCAAGGGUGUCCCCGUCUCCGUUUCCACGGGCGUGAAGACUUGCAGGCGCCUCCGGCGCGAGAGCUUUAGACCGCCACCCCUUCCCGCUCCCCUCGGAAGGAGACGCCGGCCGAGCCCAGGGAGAGGGAGUCGUGGAAAAGCCGCUGGACCUGCGUGCGUGGCCGCCUCGGCUGUGGAUUUUAAGGACGGGAAAGAGAAGUAACGGCGUCUCAAGGGAAUCCUUUGGAGAUGCUCUCAAGAUGUAGAACCCUUAUAUGUGAAGUAAUCCACAUGAAGUUGCAGCAUCCACAUUGAAGUCACUUCAUGUUACGAGCAAGUUGAAAAAUUCCAACCUUGGCCCUAGGCUAUUUCAUCAAGCACAAUCUUAAGUAAAAGCUUGCUUUUCACUUU